AGUUGAGGCACUUUUUACUUGAGGACUUUUGGCCUUCGUUCAACAUACUAGUCCAAAAGUUUCUGUGUGUCAAUCCUCGCUCAAGAACUCUAUUCCUGGUUUGAAGGGAUCGAAUAUGGCUCAAGGUAUUAAUAUUUAUCUCUCUUUAUCUAUUUUUUGCUUUGUCAUUAAGCAAUUGCAAAUAUAAAUAUAAAUAAUGAAGCAAAAUAAUUCCCUGCUUUUCAAUUAUAUAUUCAUAUGUGCACUCAAUAAUGUCCAUCUUCGUAAAUUAAAAUUUGAUCCGUCUCACAUAAUAUCUGAAAACCAGACACAACUAGGUCCCUCAAUAAAUGAUGUUUAUUGACAUUACUUGAAUAAUUGAGUGUUUUCUCUACAAUCCAUAUUCUGGCCAAGUAUCAACCCCCAUAUCAAACAUAAUCUUGACACUCAAAUUAUUUAUGUCCUUUACUUCUGUGAGCUGUUUCCAUCUCUGUCCCAUCUCCUUAAUCAAUUAUGCUCCUGAACUAUUUGUCACCAAUAUGAUAGACAAAUACAUUUGCUACAUUUAAAUAUACAUAUAUCACUUCAUAUAAUAUUCCCAUAUUUCUCCCAUCUCUAUUUCCAAUAUUCCAUGCUUGCUUAGUCGUAAAUCUACAUAUUAUUUAUAUCAUAUCCAUAGAUUUAGAUGUACAUCUAGCUUGUCUUAAACAUGAAUCAAGACUGCCAAACAGAGUGCUUUAUUACAUAUAUGACAUAAUUAUUUUAUCAUCCAUCUACUAUGACAUUUUAAAUAAAAGAGAAUUAACUUAAUGUAGUACAAAACCUCAGUAUCGAAGGUCUCAAGUUCAAAAGUUAAGUAUUCUUUAUAUAAUGUAUAGUACCCGAGACAAUGGAGUGAGGGAGUGUUAAAUAUCUAACUGACCUGUCUAAUUACAUCUUAAGCUUUUUGUAGUCAUUAAUUAACGUAACACUUAAAAUGUGAUGCCUAAGUUAAUUUUGCAUACUAUUAUUUAUUUGAGCAAAGGUGGUAGAUAACUUGAAACUUCCUUGAUCUCAUAGAUAAUAAUACUAUAUGCAUGUUUCUAUAUUAUUAUAGUCUGUGCACAUGGAUGACUAAUUAGUAUGUUCCCAGGUUCUUUGUAGGAAACUAAAAUUUGAUUAGUGGGUUGAUACUAUGAACUGUCCACAUGGGGCCUUGGGUCUUAAGUGGCCUUCGUUGCGGGACAUGAAGGUGGCCUAUAUAUAUGCUUGAUUUGUUAUAAAUUCAACUCAUAAUAACCAUUUCUGCUUAUAACUCUAAGCUUAUAAUUCUUGCUCCAAUACUUUUACUUUACUAAACCAUCAUUUAAUGGCCUCUUUCGUACCCGAAAACUUUGAAUCCGUUGCAAG
rnacentral:lncRNA from 1 species